rnacentral:sRNA from 1 species
GGCAUCGUCAAGGAUUGGAACGACAUGGAACGCAUUUGGCAAUAUGUCUAUUCUAAGGACCAGCUGCAGACUUUCUCAGAGGAGCAUCCUGUGCUCCUGACUGAGGCGCCUUUAAACCCACGAAAAAACCGAGAACGAGCUGCCGAAGUUUUCUUCGAGACCUUCAAUGUGCCCGCUCUUUUCAUCUCCAUGCAAGCUGUACUCAGCCUUUAUGCUACAGGCAGGACCACAGGGGUGGUGCUGGAUUCUGGGGAUGGAGUCACCCAUGCUGUGCCCAUCUAUGAGGGCUUUGCCAUGCCCCACUCCAUCAUGCGCAUCGACAUCGCGGGCCGGGACGUCUCUCGCUUCCUGCGCCUCUACCUGCGUAAGGAGGGCUACGACUUCCACUCAUCCUCUGAGUUUGAGAUUGUCAAGGCCAUAAAAGAAGUAAGUGCUGCCCCCUGGGCCUAGGGAUGGAGUGGGGGUUGGGAGCAUAGCACCCAGGACCUUGGUGACCUGCCAGUGAAGCCAGG